UAGUGCCAGAAAAAAGAGAUUUUAACUCUCACCCCUGGCUCCCAAAGCCAGAAUUCUAAAUUAAACUAUUUUCUG
rnacentral:tRNA from 1 species